CAGCCUUAGAUCAGCUCUUGAGAUUUGAGUCUCAACACUUCUUACCUUUCUCAUCCCCUCCCUCUUCCUUCUCUUGUUCUUUCGUUGCUGCGCAGGUCUUCCUUCUCCUGCUUCAACUUCUUCAGUCGCCAUUGGCGGCCUGCCAUCACUACAAGCUAACUACCGACCCAACUAGCUACUGGUCCUGGAAGCUUUAACAGCAAGGUCGCCCGUUCAAAAAAUUGGACAAUACUAGAAACAGUUGCCCGGGUUAAGUCAAAUAAAAACGAGUCGAAAGAGGAAAACGUAAAUAGGUCGUUUCAGCUAAAUGAUAUUUUGGAUAAUGAUAAUGGAGUGGAAGAAACCCCGACACUGGUAAAUCGCAAAGGUUCCAACUCAAAGCACCAGCCAUUUUCAAUUUCGGGAUUUUCACCGUCUGGUAAUAAUCAAAUUGUGAUUUGGCUGUAGGAGGUUAAUAUGUUAUGUUCUUGACUUCCCAUAGUUAAAUCAUGGCAAAGAGAAAUGGUAUGCACCCUUCAAUGGUUUCCUAAGCUUCUAGUCUCAUUGAGCAACUGCCAAUAUUGAAGAUGUUGAUGUUACUGAUAAUAAGAUAAAGGUUGUUGAUGUAGUAAAGCUACAUGUACAAACUGUUUCUUAUGGAAAAAAUCGCUAAAAGAGGUGUUGGAAGCAGAUUCUCCUCUGCGAAUUUGAAGAAAUGUAGCUAUUUACUAAGCUUAGAGUUAGAUGAAGGUGGAGAUGGAGUUAUGAUGCCAUACUUCUAUUAGUAGCAGAGAAGUUGUCUUUAGUUAAUUGGACUUGCCUAUGGGAAUAUUAGUAAGGUUUUUGGUUUUUGUUUAUUGGAUGAAAACCGUACACGUUAUUUGCUCAUGUAAUUAGGUGCUUGUGGUUUAUCUUUUCUUUUACUUACAAACAAAAUUAGACUUAAUUGUUGUUUCUUCUGUGGUGCUGAGUUAAUAAUCCAGCCAGUUUGAUUAAUCAAGCUCACUU